rfam:Gossypium raimondii Chr07_contig_1426, whole genome shotgun sequence.
UAUAAAAAAAAUUAUUCAUUUCUAUUCUUAAAAACUAACAUAACAGAUGGAAUAAUCACACAAUUACACAUGGCGUGCCAAGUGUACCUCAUACUAACGUAUAAUGACUAAUUUUUAACAAUAAAAAAUGAAUGAAUUUUUUAACA